rnacentral:rRNA from 1 species
CAGCCGCCGCGGUAAUACGGAGGGGGCUAGCGUUGUUCGGAAUUACUGGGCGUAAAGCGCACGUAGGCGGCUUGGUAAGUUAGAGGUGAAAGCCCGGAGCUCAACUCUGGAAUUGCCUUUAAGACUGCCGAGCUAGCAGGUGAGAGAGGUAAGUGGAAUUCCGAGUGUAGAGGUGAAAUUCGUAGAUAUUCGGAAGAACACCAGUGGCGAAGGCGGCCCGCUGGACAAGUAUUGACGCUGAGGUGCGAAAGCGUGGGGAGCAAACAGGAUUAGAUACCCGCGUAGUCCCUGUCUCUUAUAC